rnacentral:rRNA from 1 species
CCACCACCAAAGCAUUUGCUGUACCGCGUUGACGGAGCGAAGCGACGUCAAACCGAUAAAACAGCAGUGUAAAGUGAGCCGCAGGGCGCUUUGCGCGACAGCGCAAAGGCAGGCGGUUUCGCGUAGCGAAAGCGAAUGCUUUGGGGUGGGGUGACUGCGUACCUUUUGUAUAAUGGGUCAGCGACUUAUAUUCUGUAGCAAGGUUAACCGAAUAGGGGAGCCGGAGGGAAACCGAGUCUUAAUUGGGCGUUAAGUUGCAGGGUAUAGACCCGAAACCCGGUGAUCUAGCCAUGGGCAGGUUGAAGGGUGGGUAACACUAACUGGAGGACCGAACCGACUAAUGUUGAAAAAUUAGCGGAUGACCUGUGGCUGGGGGUGAAAGGCCAAUCAAACCGGGAGAUAGCUGGUUCUCCCCGAAAGCUAUUUAGGUAGCGCCUCGUGAAUUCAUCUCCGGGGGUAGAGCACUGUUUCGGCUAGGGGGCCAUCCCGGCUUACCAACCCGAUGCAAACUGCGAAUACCGGAGAAUGUUAUCACGGGAGACACACGGCGGGUGCUAACGUCCGUCGUGAAGAGGGAAACAACCCAGACCGCCAGCUAAGGUCCCAAAGUCAUGGUUAAGUGGGAAACGAUGUGGGAAGGCCCAGACAGCCAGGAUGUUGGCUUAGAAGCAGCCAUCAUUUAAAGAAAGCGUAAUAGCUCACUGGUCGAGUCGGCCUGCGCGGAAGAUGUAACGGGGCUAAACCAUGCACCGAAGCUGCGGCAGCGACACUGUGUGUUGUUGGGUAGGGGAGCGUUCUGUAAGCCUGUGAAGGUGUGUCGUGAGGCAUGCUGGAGGUAUCAGAAGUGCGAAUGCUGACAUAAGUAACGAUAAAGCGGGUGAAAAGCCCGCUCGCCGGAAGACCAAGGGUUCCUGUCCAACGUUAAUCGGGGCAGGGUGAGUCGACCCCUAAGGCGAGGCCGAAAGGCGUAGUCGAUGGGAAACGGGUUAAUAUUCCCGUACUUGGUGUUACUGCGAAGGGGGGACGGAGAAGGCUAUGUUGGCCGGGCGACGGUUGUCCCGGUUUAAGCGUGUAGGCUGGUUUUCCAGGCAAAUCCGGAAAAUCAAGGCUGAGGCGUGAUGACGAGGCACUACGGUGCUGAAGCAACAAAUGCCCUGCUUCCAGGAAAAGCCUCUAAGCAUCAGGUAACAUCAAAUCGUACCCCAAACCGACACAGGUGGUCAGGUAGAGAAUACCAAGGCGCUUGAGAGAACUCGGGUGAAGGAACUAGGCAAAAUGGUGCCGUAACUUCGGGAGAAGGCACGCUGACACGUAGGUGAAGUGAUUUACUCAUGGAGCUGAAGUCAGUCGAAGAUACCAGCUGGCUGCAACUGUUUAUUAAAAACACAGCACUGUGCAAACACGAAAGUGGACGUAUACGGUGUGACGCCUGCCCGGUGCCGGAAGGUUAAUUGAUGGGGUCAGCGCAAGCGAAGCUCCUGAUCGAAGCCCCGGUAAACGGCGGCCGUAACUAUAACGGUCCUAAGGUAGCGAAAUUCCUUGUCGGGUAAGUUCCGACCUGCACGAAUGGCGUAAUGAUGGCCAGGCUGUCUCCACCCGAGACUCAGUGAAAUUGAACUCGCUGUGAAGAUGCAGUGUACCCGCGGCAAGACGGAAAGACCCCGUGAACCUUUACUAUAGCUUGACACUGAACAUUGAGCCUUGAUGUGUAGGAUAGGUGGGAGGCUUUGAAGUGUGGACGCCAGUCUGCAUGGAGCCGACCUUGAAAUACCACCCUUUAAUGUUUGAUGUUCUAACGUGGACCCGUUACCCGGGUUGCGGACAGUGUCUGGUGGGUAGUUUGACUGGGGCGGUCUCCUCCUAAAGAGUAACGGAGGAGCACGAAGGUUGGCUAAUCCUGGUCGGACAUCAGGAGGUUAGUGCAAUGGCAUAAGCCAGCUUGACUGCGAGCGUGACGGCGCGAGCAGGUGCGAAAGCAGGUCAUAGUGAUCCGGUGGUUCUGAAUGGAAGGGCCAUCGCUCAACGGAUAAAAGGUACUCCGGGGAUAACAGGCUGAUACCGCCCAAGAGUUCAUAUCGACGGCGGUGUUUGGCACCUCGAUGUCGGCUCAUCACAUCCUGGGGCUGAAGUAGGUCCCAAGGGUAUGGCUGUUCGCCAUUUAAAGUGGUACGCGAGCUGGGUUUAGAACGUCGUGAGACAGUUCGGUCCCUAUCUGCCGUGGGCGCUGGAGAACUGAGGGGGGCUGCUCCUAGUACGAGAGGACCGGAGUGGACGCAUCACUGGUGUUCGGGUUGUCAUGCCAAUGGCACUGCCCGGUAGCUAAAUGCGGAAGAGAUAAGUGCUGAAAGCAUCUAAGCACGAAACUUGCCCCGA